rnacentral:rRNA from 1 species
AUGCCCUGGAAAUUAAAUAUGAUUUUUUAUAGAAUAUUUGAGGAUUUAUGGAACAAAAUACACACCAGGGGGGCCAACCACCUUACCACGAGGGUGGAGGGCGCGCCCACCCCCUUAGAGUGCGCCCCUGCCUCGUGGGCCCACGGUGGCCCUCCUCCACUUAUUCUUUCAGCCACACACUUCAUCUUCCUCCCCCAAACACGAAAAACCAGCUCAAACCCGAGUCCAAGCUUGUUUUGCUGCCAUUUUCAAUCUCCUUGCUCAAAGCACCUCUCACAAAACUUCUUGGGGAGAUUGUUCCUUAGUAUGUGA